GACGAACCGAGCGAACGUUAUUCGGAAUCACUGGGCUUAAAGGGUGCGUAGGCGGGCUCGUCAGUCGGGGGUGAAAUCCCACGGCCCAACCGUGGAAGGGCCUCCGAUACUGCGAGUCUCGAGGGGGACAGGGGCGUGCGGAACUUCCGGUGGAGCGGUGAAAUGCGUAGAUAUCGGAAGGAACACCGGUGGCGAAAGCGGCACGCUGGAUCCCUACUGACGCUGAGGCACGAAAGCCAGGGGAGCAAACGGG
rnacentral:rRNA from 1 species